UGAGGAAUAUUGGUCAAUGGGGGCAACCCUGAACCAGCCAAGUCGCGUGAAGGAUGAAGGUCUUAUGGAUUGUAAACUUCUUUUAUACAGGAAUAAAUUGGGGGACGUGUCCCCUUUUGCAUGUACUGUAUGAAUAAGGAUCGGCUAACUCCGUGCCAGCAGCCGCGGUAAUACGGAGGAUCCGAGCGUUAUCCGGAUUUAUUGGGUUUAAAGGGUGCGCAGGCGGGAUGUUAAGUCGGCGGUGAAAUUUUGCAGCUCAACUGUAAAAGUUCCGUCGAUACUGGCUUCCUUGAGUGUAGAUGAAGUAGGCGGAAUUUGUGGUGUAGCGGUGAAAUGCUUAGAUAUCACGAGGAACUCCGAUUGCGCAGGCAGCUUACUAAACUACAACUUACGCUCGUGCACGAAGGCGUGGGGAUCAAACA
rnacentral:rRNA from 1 species